rnacentral:lncRNA from 10 species
GUAUGUAAAGGAGAGCCAAGCUGCCUGAAGAAACGAGGGUCCAUAGGUGAAGACAAUUAAAUAAACUCAUCAGACUAAAGUGCAACACGUGCUGGAGAGACAGCCAACCUUUGUAGAAGUGCAAAGCACUUGACCCAGGGGCUGGGGUCAGCGGGACGUCUGGGAGGAAGUAAGCUAGCUUCAGCUAGCACCUGACAGUGGAGAGUGGAAGGCAAGCGCCGGUGAAAAGGAGCUGUUGUGAAGAAAGAAUUCUGAAUAUACAAAGAUUCUGGAUUGGGUGCACCGGAAGAUGAAGCCAGAAGUUGUUUCAGCCUUGAAGCUGGUAAUCCUCUCUGGGAAGAACGGGGAUGUUUUCAAUGGACUGGAAGGUUGAGUGCUGCUAGGUCAGGCUCAGGCUCUAAGAGUGGCCUCUACCCAAGAACGUGCUGCUGUUGGGGAUGCUGCCCUCACACUGCAGAAGGUGACACCCAGAUACCCCCUUGCCAGGAUCCCUGCAGCCAGAUCCUUCUCCUGAUGCCACCAGGACUGGAUGGGUCCUCAGUCCUGAACUGAACUGUGGGUGAGUGGGUAGAGAUGGGGAAGAUGUGAGACACCUCGUCUUCCUCUUGCUACACACAUCUUAUUGGCUGCAAGUGUGAAAUGGCUUUUGAUACAUUUAUUUGUUCGUUUGUUUGCUUUUUGGAGACAGGGUCUUUCAGUGUUGUCCAGGCUUGGAGUGCAUUGGCAAUUAUAGCUCAUUGCAACCUUGAACUCCUGGGCUCAAAUGAUCCUCCAGCCUCAGUCUCCCAAGUAGCGGGAACUAAAUGUGCAUGCCAGCGCACUGGGCUAAUUGUUUUAUUUUUUUGUAGAGAUGGGGUCUUGCUUUGUUGACCAGGCUGGUCUCGAACUCCUGAGCUCAAAUGAUCCUCCUGCCUCAGCCUCCCAAGGCGAGAUUACAGACAUGAGCCACCACACCCAGCCAGGUGUGAGUCUUUUCCUGCUAGCUGCCUUGGAACCCAAUAGGUCUGGUAGAAGAUGCAGCUUUUGUGUGUGGUGUCUGUUUUGGCUGGGCUCAUAUAAAACCUUCCUUACUAUGUGACCCAGCAAUCCCAUUACUGGGUAUAUAACCAAAGGAAUAUAAAUCAUUCUAUUAUAAAGAUACAUGCACACGUAUGCUUAUUGCAGCACUAUUCACAAUAGCAAAGACAUGGAAUCAACCCAAAUAGCCACCAAUGAUAGACUGGAUAAAGAAAAUGUGGUACAUAUACACCAUGGAAUACUAUGCAGCCAUAAAGAGGAAUGAGAUCAUGUCUCUUCGAGGGUCAUGGAUGAAGCUGGAAGCCAUCAUCCUCAGCAAGCUAACACAGGAUCAGAAAACCAAAUGCUGCAUGUUCUCACUCAUAAGUGGGAGCUGAACAAUGAAAACACAUGGACGGGGGAGAGGAACAACACAUACUGGGGCUUGUUGGGGGUGGGAGGAGGGAGAGCAUAAGGAUAAAUAGCUAAUGCAUGCAGGGCUUAAUACCUAGGUGAUGGGUUGACAGGUGCAGCAAACCACCAUGGAACACGUUUACCUAUGUAACAAACCUGCACAUUCUGCACAUGUAUCCCAGUACUUAAAAUAAAAUAAAACUUAAAAAAACCCUUCCCUUGCUUUCUGGCAUGUGUAUUAUCCUUCCCUGUACCUCCAUCAUCG